rnacentral:rRNA from 1 species
GACGAACGUUGGCGGCGUGCUUAAUACAUGCAAGUCAACUGAAGCAGUGGUAGCAAUAUCGCUGUGGAGGUGGCGCACGGGUGGGUAACACGUAGGUAAUCUGCCUUCAGGUCUGGCAUAACUCCGGGAAACCGGGGCUAAUAGCGGAUGAUGCAGCGGCUCGACAUCGAGACAGUUGUUAAAGCUAUGGCGCCUGAAGAUGAGCCUGCGUCUGAUUAGCUAGUUGGCGGGGUAACGGCCCACCAAGGCAACGAUCAGUAGCUGGUCUGAGAGGAUGAUCAGCCACACUGGAACUGAGACACGGUCCAGACUCCUACGGGAGGCAGCAGUAAGGAAUAUUGCUCAAUGGGAGAAAUCCUGAAGCAGCAACGCCGCGUGAGGGACGAAGGGCUUUUGCUUGUAAACCUCUGUAGUGAGAGAAAAAAAUCCCAAUCUUUGGGACAUGAUGGUAUCUCAAAAGUAAGCCCCGGCUAACUACGUG